AUUGAACGCUGGCGGCAUGCCUUACACAUGCAAGUCGAACGGCAGCACGGGGCAACCUGGUGGCGAGUGGCGAACGGGUGAGUAAUGCAUCGGAACGUACCUUUCAGUGGGGGAUAACGUAGCGAAAGUUACGCUAAUACCGCAUAUUCUGUGAGCAGGAAAGCAGGGGAUCGCAAGACCUUGCGCUGAUUGAGCGGCCGAUGUCAGAAUUAGCUAGUUGGUGAGGUAAAGGCUCACCAAGGAGAGGAUCUGUAGCGGGUCUGAGAGGAUGAUCCGCCACACUGGAACUGAGACACGGUCCAGACUCCUACGGGAGGCAGCAGUGGGGAAUUUUGGACAAUGGGGGCAACCCUGAUCCAGCCAUGCCGCGUGAGUGAAGAAGGCCUUCGGGUUGUAAAGCUCUUUCGGCCGGGAAGAAAUCGCACGGGCUAAUACCCUGUGUGGAUGACGGUACCGGAAUAAGAAGCACCGGCUAACUACGUGCCAGCCGCCGCCGUAAAAC
rnacentral:rRNA from 1 species